CCAGCAGCCGCGGUAAUACGGAGGAUGCAAGCGUUAUCCGGAAUGAUUGGGGGUAAAGCGUCCGCAGGUGGCAAUGUAAGUCUGCUGUCAAAGCGUCUGGCUCAACCAGAUAAAGGCAGUGGAAACUACAUAGCUAGAGUAAGGUAGGGGUAGAGGGAAUUCCUGGUGUAGCGGUGAAAUGCGUAGAGAUCAGGAAGAACACCGGUGGCGAAAGCGCUCUGCUGGACCUUAACUGACACUGAGGGACGAAAGCUAGGGGAGCGAAUGGGAUUAGAUACCCCAGUAGUC
rnacentral:rRNA from 1 species